rnacentral:rRNA from 1 species
CUAAAAACCUAGCCCAACAAACAUGAAUUUUACUAAAUUAACUAAACCCCUCUUAACAAACCAUUUUAACAUUCUAGUAAAGGAGAUUGAAAAACUUAUUUGGAGCUAUAAAAACAGUACCGCAAGGGAACGGUGAAAUAUUAUGAAAAACUUCAAGCAGCAAAAAGUAAAGAUUACCUCUUGUACCUUUCGCAUCAUGGUUUAACUAGUCUAACCAAGCAAAACGUAUUUAAGUUUGACUUCCCGAAACUAAGUGAGCUACUUCAGGGCAGCUAGAAGAGCAAACCCGUCUCUGUAGCAAAAGAGUGGGACGACCCUCAAGUAGUGGUGACAGACCUAACGAACUUAGUGAUAGCUGGUUGCUCAAGAAACGGAUUUAAGUCCAACCUGAAAGUUUUAUAACCUGAGUUCAUCAAAACAAUCACCUAGCUUUCAGCGUAAUUCAAAUAAGGUACAGCCUAUUUGAAACAGGAUACAACCUAGCCUAGUGGAUAAGAUCAGCCUAACAUACAAUCAAGUGGGCCUAAAAGCAGCCACCUUUAAUAUAGCGUCAAAGCUAAAUUGUAACCGAGCCCAAUUACUUAACCCAUAUCUUAAUCCCCUGCCAAUACUGAGUAAUUCUAUAAUAUUAUAGAAAUUUUUAUGUUAAAACUAGUAACAAGAAGAAGAUUCUUCUCUUAAAUGUACGUAUAAAUCAGAAAAGACAAGCUACUGAUACUUAACACCUCUGAGCAUAAAGUAGUAACUAACCAAGAAAACUCUACUUUUACUGGUGUUAAUCUAACACAAGAACAUUCUAAGAAAGA